rnacentral:lncRNA from 1 species
AGAACUUGACCCUGUCAACUUGAAAUAAUCGAAAGAAUUAGAACCUAGCUUGAAAGAAGUUAUUUAAGCUUUGAAAAGCUGAGAAUAUCCAUCUGGGAAACACAGACUCCAGAGAAAUGAGGUGAGCGCUCUGACGUUAAAAAUUAAGCUUUUGCUUAUAUAGGCAGAAAACAGAGAAGUUUAGUUGGAUUGUAACAUUUUCUAUACAAAGCUGGUUUAUGAGUUACGGCAAUUUAAAUGGUGACAGUUUGUUUGCUGCUUGUUUUCAUUUUCUUUCCAAUUUAAAACAGUAUAUUUAGUAUUGCAUCUUAAGACAAUGUGAUAGCCAUAAAGUCUUUGUGUGAGAAAGGUAGGGAGAAAGUUAAUCUAUAAUGAAGAUCCACAGUGAAUAGGGAAGAGGUCUUCCCUGAGGCCCUUAAGUCAUUUACAUUUAAUAGAACAAUGUAGGGAAGGAAGAAGUUUAAUCUCUAAUCAGAGAAACACAGGUUUCAGUUGCCUGGGUUAUGUCUGCCUGCUUGCCUGACUCAGGCCCCAUAAUCACAUUCCUUUAAGGGUCAAAAUAAUUUAAAGUUCCAACAGCUUAGAUUUUGAAUUAUAUAUUUUCACAAGCCCCAUCUCCCCCACCACAAAACCUCACUGCCGUGGUUCCUCCACCAACCCUGAUGAUCCUGAAUAACAUCUGCUUCACUGUGCUGUAACGAGCGUCGCUGAAUAAUGUUUCCUUUAACAGAAGCGCCAAGAACUAUCUUUGCGAUUUUGCAAGAUUUUCCCAGUUUACAUUCAUCUCCUGCUUCAGGGUUUUCUUUCCAUUUAUUUUGACAAAACUAAAUGAAACUGGCAGUUAACUUUAACUGAGUAAUGAAAGACAACAAAAAGCAAACAGAGCUGGAGACAGAGAGAGAAAAAGAACACCAAUGAAUUAACUGUGGCAGCACCUUGAGAUUUGAUGUUUUCUGGCCUGCAGGCCUGGCUACGGGGCACCUAGAACCCUCAGGGCUAGAAGUUCCAGCUGCCCAUUGACUAAGCUCUAGGAAAGGAGAGGA